GAUGAACGCUGGCGGCGUGCCUAAAACAUGCAAGUCGAGCGAACAGACGAGGAGCUUGCUCCUCUGACGUUAGCGGCGGACGGGUGAGUAACACGUGGAUAACCUACCUAUAAGACUGGGAUAACUUCGGGAAACCGGAGCUAAUACCGGAUAAUAUAUUGAACCGCAUGGUUCAAUAGUGAAAGACGGUUUUGCUGUCACUUAUAGAUGGAUCCGCGCCGCAUUAGCUAGUUGGUAAGGUAACGGCUUACCAAGGCGACGAUGCGUAGCCGACCUGAGAGGGUGAUCGGCCACACUGGAACUGAGACACGGUCCAGACUCCUACGGGAGGCAGCAGUAGGGAAUCUUCCGCAAUGGGCGAAAGCUUGACGGAGCAACGCCGCGUGAGUGAUGAAGGUCUUCGGAUCGUAAAACUCUGUUAUUAGGGAAGAACAAAUGUGUAAGUAACUAUGCACGUCUUGACGGUACCUAAUCAGAAAGCCACGGCUAACUACGUG
rnacentral:rRNA from 1 species